GGGCCGGUAGCUCAGCCUGGUAGAGCACUUGACUUUUAAUCAAGGGGUCGCGAGUUCGAAUCUCGUCCGGCCCG
rnacentral:tRNA from 1 species